rnacentral:rRNA from 1 species
UCAAGCGAAUAAGCGCACACGGUGGAUGCCUUGGCGGUCAGAGGCGAUGAAGGACGUGGCAGCCUGCGAAAAGUAUCGGGGAGCUGGCAACAAGCUUUGAUCCGGUAAUGUCCGAAUGGGGAAACCCACCCGCUUGCGGGUAUCCUGCAGUGAAUACAUAGCUGCUGGAAGCGAACCUGGUGAACUGAAAUAUCUAAGUAACCAGAGGAAAAGAAAUCAACCGAGAUUCCGUAAGUAGCGACGAGCGAACGCGGACUAGCCCUUAAGCUGGAUUGGUUCUAGGAAAACGCUCUGGAAAGAGCGGCCAUAGAAGGUGAUAGCCCUGUAUCUGAAAGGGCCAUUCCAGUGAAGACGAGUAGGGCGGGGCACGUGAAACCCUGUCUGAACAUGGGGGGACCAUCCUCCAAGGCUAAAUACUACUGACCGACCGAUAGUGAACCAGUACCGUGAGGGAAAGGCGAAAAGAACCCCGGAGAGGGGAGUGAAAUAGAACCUGAAACCGUGUGCGUACAAGCAGUAGGAGCUCCGCAAGGAGUGACUGCGUACCUUUUGUAUAAUGGGUCAGCGACUUACUGUUCGUGGCAAGCUUAACCGUAUAGGGGAGGCGAAGGGAAACCGAGUCUGAUAAGGGCGCAUAGUCGCGGGCAGUAGACCCGAAACCGGGUGAUCUAGUCAUGCCCAGGGUGAAGGUGCGGUAACACGCACUGGAGGCCCGAACCCACUCCCGUUGCAAAGGUAGGGGAUGAGGUGUGAUUAGGAGUGAAAAGCUAAUCGAACCCGGAGAUAGCUGGUUCUCCUCGAAAGCUAUUUAGGUAGCGCCUCAUAUGUAUCCUCUCGGGGGUAGAGCACUGUUAUGGCUAGGGGGUCAUCGCGACUUACCAAACCAUUGCAAACUCCGAAUACCGAGACGGACUGUAUGGGAGACACACGGCGGGUGCUAACGUCCGUCGUGAAAAGGGAAACAACCCAGACCCACAGCUAAGGUCCCAAAUUCACUGCUAAGUGGAAAACCAUGUGGAAAGGCACAGACAGCCAGGAGGUUGGCUUAGAAGCAGCCACCCUUUAAAGAAAGCGUAAUAGCUCACUGGUCGAGUCGGUCUGCGGGGAAGAUUUAACGGGGCUAAGCAGUGAACCGAAGCUUGGGGUGCAUAACUUUGUUAUGCGCGGUAGAGGAGCGUUCCGUAAGCCGUUGAAGGUGGAUUGAGAAGUCUGCUGGAGGUAUCGGAAGUGCGAAUGCUGACAUGAGUAACGAUAAUGCGGGUGAAAAACCCGCACGCCGAAAGCCCAAGGUUUCCUUGCGCAACGUUAAUCGGCGCAGGGUGAGUCGGCCCCUAAGGCGAGGACGAAAGUCGUAGUCGAUGGGAAGCAGGUUAAUAUUCCUGCACCUCGCGUAAGUGCGAUGGAGGGACGGAGAAGGUUAGGUGUACCAGGCGUUGGUUGUCCUGGGGAAAGGCGGUAGGUUUGGAUCUUUGGCAAAUCCGGGAUCCUUUAAGACCGAGCACCGAGACGAGCCUUUAUGGCGAAGUCACUGAUACCACGCUUCCAGGAAAAGCUCCUAAGCUUCAGCUUACGCAGACCGUACCGUAAACCGACACAGGUGGGUAGGAUGAGAAUUCUCAGGCGCUUGAGAGAACUCGGGUGAAGGAACUAGGCAACAUGGCACCGUAACUUCGGGAGAAGGUGCACCCUUUUUGGUGGCUCGUGCGAGCUAUAGCUGAAGAGGGUCGCAGUAACCAGGCCGCUGCGACUGUUUAUCAAAAACACAGCACUCUGCAAACACGAAAGUGGACGUAUAGGGUGUGACGCCUGCCCGGUGCUGGAAGGUUAAUUGAUGGGGUCAGCCGCAAGGCGAAGCUCUUGAUCGAAGCCCCAGUAAACGGCGGCCGUAACUAUAACGGUCCUAAGGUAGCGAAAUUCCUUGUCGGGUAAGUUCCGACCUGCACGAAUGGCGUAACGACAGCGGCGCUGUCUCCACCCGAGACUCAGUGAAAUUGAAAUCGCUGUGAAGAUGCAGCGUUCCCGUGGCAAGACGGAAAGACCCCGUGAACCUUUACUAUAGCUUUACACUGAACGUUGAGUUCGUCUGUGUAGGAUAGGUGGGAGGCUAUGAAACCAUGGCGCUAGCUGUGGCGGAGCCAUCCUUGAAAUACCACCCUGUCGUGCUUGACGUUCUAACCUGGGCCCAUUAUCUGGGUCGGGGACCGUGUAUGGUGGGUAGUUUGACUGGGGCGGUCUCCUCCUAAAGAGUAACGGAGGAGCUCGAAGGUACGCUCAGCGCGGUCGGACAUCGCGCACUGUGUGCAAAGGCAUAAGCGUGCUUGACUGCAAGAUCGACGGAUCAAGCAGGUAGGAAACUAGGACUUAGUGAUCCGGUGGUUCUGUAUGGAAGGGCCAUCGCUCAACGGAUAAAAGGUACUCCGGGGAUAACAGGCUGAUACCGCCCAAGAGUUCAUAUCGACGGCGGUGUUUGGCACCUCGAUGUCGGCUCAUCACAUCCUGGGGCUGUAGUCGGUCCCAAGGGUAUGGCUGUUCGCCAUUUAAAGUGGUACGCGAGCUGGGUUCAGAACGUCGUGAGACAGUUCGGUCNCUAUCUGCCAUGGGCGUUGGAGAUUUGAGAGGGGCUGCUCCUAGUACGAGAGGACCGGAGUGGACGAACCUCUGGUGUUCCGGUUGUCACGCCAGUGGCAUUGCCGGGUAGCUAUGUUCGGAAGCGAUAACCGCUGAAAGCAUCUAAGCGGGAAGCGCGCCUCAAGAUGAGAUCUCCCGGGGCACAAGCCCCCUGAAGGAACCAUGUAGACUACGUGGUUGAUAGGUCAGGUGUGUAAGUACAGCAAUGUAUUGAGCUAACUGAUACUAAUGAUCCGUGCGGCUUGACCA